CUCUGGUAUUGAUUGGUGCUUGCAUCAUGAUUUACAUUUGAGUGAGUGGCGAACUGGUGAGUAACACGUGGGAAACCUGCCCAGAAGCGGGGGAUAACACCUGGAAACAGAUGCUAAUACCGCAUAACAACUUGGACCGCAUGGUCCGAGUUUGAAAGAUGGCUUCGGCUAUCACUUUUGGAUGGUCCCGCGGCGUAUUAGCUAGAUGGUGGGGUAACGGCUCACCAUGGCAAUGAUACGUAGCCGACCUGAGAGGGUAAUCGGCCACAUUGGGACUGAGACACGGCCCAAACUCCUACGGGAGGCAGCAGUAGGGAAUCUUCCACAAUGGACGAAAGUCUGAUGGAGCAACGCCGCGUGAGUGAAGAAGGGUUUCGGCUCGUAAAACUCUGUUGUUAAAGAAGAACAUAUCUGAGAGUAACUGUUCAGGUAUUGACGGUAUUUAACCAGAAAGCCACGGCUAACUACGUGCCAGCAGCCGCGGUAAUACGUAGGUGGCAAGCGUUGUCCGGAUUUAUUGGGCGUAAAGCGAGCGCAGGCGGUUUUUUAAGUCUGAUGUGAAAGCCUUCGGCUCAACCGAAGAAGUGCAUCGGAAACUGGGAAACUUGAGUGCAGAAGAGGACAGUGGAACUCCAUGUGUAGCGGUGAAAUGCGUAGAUAUAUGGAAGAACACCAGUGGCGAAGGCGGCUGUCUGGUCUGUAACUGACGCUGAGGCUCGAAAGUAUGGGUAGCAAACAGGAUUAGAUACCCUGGUAGUCCAUACCGUAAACGAUGAAUGCUAAGUGUUGAGGGUUUCCGCCCUUCAGUGCUGCAGCUAACGCAUUAAGCAUUCCGCCUGGGGGUACGGCCGCAAGGCUGAAACUCAAAGGAAUUGACGGGGGCCCGCACAAGCGGUGGAGCAUGUGGUUUAAUUCGAAGCUACGCGAAGAACCUUACCAGGUCUUGACAUACUAUGCAAAUCUAAGAGAUUAGACGUUCCCUUCGGGGACAUGGAUACAGGUGGUCAUGGUUGUCGUCAGCUCGUGUCGUGAGAUGUUGGGUUAAGUCCCGCAACGAGCGCAACCCUUAUUAUCAGUUGCCAGCAUUAAGUUGGGCACUCUGGUGAGACUGCCGGUGACAAACCGGAGGAAGGUGGGGAUGACGUCAAAUCAUCAUGCCCCUUAUGACCUGGGCUACACACGUGCUACAAUGGAUGGUACAACGAGUUGCGAACUCGCGAGAGUAAGCUAAUCUCUUAAAGCCAUUCUCAGUUCGGAUUGUAGGCUGCAACUCGCCUACAUGAAGUCGGAAUCGCUAGUAAUCGCGGAUCAGCAUGCCGCGGUGAAUACGUUCCCGGGCCUUGUACACACCGCCCGUCACACCAUGAGAGUUUGUAACACCCAAAGUCGGUGGGGUAAC
rnacentral:rRNA from 2 species